UAGGGAAUCUUCGGCAAUGGACGAAAGUCUGACCGAGCAACGCCGCGUGAGUGAAGAAGGUUUUCGGAUCGUAAAACUCUGUUGUUAGAGAAGACAAAGAACGUUAGUAACUGAACGUCCCCUGACGGUAUCUAACCAGAAAGCCACGGCUAACUACGUGCCAGCAGCCGCGGUAAUACGUAGGUGGCAAGCGUUGUCCGGAUUUAUUGGGCGUAAAGCGAGCGCAGGCGGUUUCUUAAGUCUGAUGUGAAAGCCCCCGGCUCAACCGGGGAGGGUCAUUGGAAACUGGGAGACUUGAGUGCAGAAGAGGAGAGUGGAAUUCCAUGUGUAGCGGUGAAAUGCGUAGAUAUAUGGAGGAACACUAGUGGCGAAGGCGGCUCUCUGGUCUGUAACUGACGCUGAGGCUCGAAAGCGUGGGGAGCAAACAGG
rnacentral:rRNA from 1 species